rnacentral:rRNA from 1 species
GACGAACGCUGGCGGCGUGCCUAAUACAUGCAAGUAGAACGCUGAAGAGAGGAGUUUACUCUUCUUGGAUGAGUUGCGAACGGGUGAGUAACGCGUAGGUAACCUGCCUUGUAGCGGGGGAUAACUAUUGGAAACGAUAGCUAAUACCGCAUAACAAUGGAUGACACAUGUCAUUUAUUUGAAAGGGGCACUUGCUCCACUACAAGAUGGACCUGCGUUGUAUUAGCUAGUAGGUGAGGUAAUGGCUCACCUAGGCGACGAUACAUAGCCGACCUGAGAGGGUGAUCGGCCACACUGGGACUGAGACACGGCCCAGACUCCUACGGGAGGCAGCAGUAGGGAAUCUUCGGCAAUGGGGGCAACCCUGACCGAGCAACGCCGCGUGAGUGAAGAAGGUUUUCGGAUCGUAAAGCUCUGUUGUAAGUCAAGAACGGGUGUGAGAGUGGAAAGUUCACACUGUGACGGUAGCUUACCAGAAAGGGACGGCUAACUACGUG